CCAACAUGUUUGGUUUUGUCUUCAACAAUUGAUUCUAACUUCUAAACGCGAGUCUACCAGAAGCCAGGAAUCCUAGCUUUCACGGUGACUCAAAAUCAAUUCUUGAUUUGUUGUUGGGUUACAGAGUCAUAAUUUUUAUUAUUCCAUCACUACCCUUAACCACUAUCAUCAGUUACUCAACACAUAUUCACAACAACACAAAUCCUGAUGAUGUUACCUUUCCUCUCUGAAAUUCACAGCAACACAUAUUCAUCUCCCAAAUAUAGAAACGGUGAUGAUGGUCCUAUUAAAAGCGAGCAAAGACGAGCACAAAUCCUGGAUCUUGAAAUUAGAGAAUUGUGAAAGUGAAAAUGGUGACUUAUUGAGAAAUAUCAUUCAUUGAUUUGGAAGAGAGAUUGAGGUUUUGUAUUGAAGGAAAAAGAAGGUGAGAAAUGAAUAUGUUGAAAGCGUAUUGAGAGAUGAGGG
rnacentral:lncRNA from 1 species